AUGAAGAGACUUGUGUCAAAGCUGUAUACCUGUUUACAUGUCACCAACAUGUCCAAGGUCAACCACAUGUCUCUUGCUUCUUCCACACAUGUCACUCCUUGUCACCCCACUGUAGUUUCAGUCAAACUUAAACCUGACAUGGUACUAGAAGAUGUGGAGUCAGACAACGAGGGCACCGGGAAGCAUGAAUAUCAGUCUCAAUCUGCGGAACCCUCCCCAUCACUGACUCCAUCGACAUCACACCAACAGCAGGAAGCCUCACUGCAGUCAAGUUCACUGCAGUCCCAGAAGUGCAGUGAUACCAACCCACAAGCAGAACAGUCAGAGAGUGGGACAAAAAUGUCUCAAGAGGAUGCUGAGACCCAGACGGGCCGCUGGACACCGUUCAUUGAGAGCAUUAAAAGGGAGGCAGAAGAUGUAGCUUUGGCUACUAUGGAGGAACGUCUCAUGCAGGAGCGCCUGGAGAUGGCCCGUAUGGCUGAGGAGGUGGCCAGGCAGACAGCUGAGAUGGCCAUUAGACAGAUGGCCAGUGAGGGACAGUCCAUCAAACUCUCACUGGGGAGUCAAGAACUGCUGGAUGAGCCCACAGCUGAGCUGCCGGAACCACAAGAAGAGGAGAGCCAAGUGGUGGACGACUGUAAACUCACACAAGAGGAACAGAGUCUUGCUGAGGAAGAAGUGAAGGAAGUGACUGAGGACUCUAUUGUCGAGGAACCAGAAGCAAAAGAGGAAGCAGAGCCACAGCAGACCUCCCCCUCUCCACCUCCAAGUCCUGAACCAGUUGAGACAGCGGAGCCAGAGCCAGAGCCAGAGCCUGAAUCACAACCUGAGCCAGAGCCAGAGACCAAGGAAGCCAGUCCAGAAGCAGAGCCUAUAACCCAGCAGCCACAGAAAUCUGAGAAAGACGGUCAAAGCCCCAACGCUGACAAAACAUCUGAAAAAGAAGAGGAAGCCACUGGGGAUGACUGUGGAGCUCCAGUCAGCUGUGAUGCAAUUAAGAGCUGCCUGAUGCGCAUUCCGCACACCUCAGAGUGCUUCGGCAACAUCAACGCAUUCUUCAAAGAAAACGGCAUCUCCACUCCCAAAAUACCCUCCAUGCCUAAGCUACCCACCCAGCUCUCUGACGUUACCAAGUACCUACCCUCCCUACCACCUGAAUUGCGCCAAGAGUUCUCCCAGAUCCGACUCACACAGGUCCCGCGAAAUAUUGCCCAAACUCUGACUGAGUUGUUGCCCAAAAGCUCUGAAGGAUCAGUUGGCCCCAGUCUGUCCAGUCUUUCCCAGAGCUUUUCAGACAUCCCGCAGAAGCUCUCCCAGAUUCCUAGCCGGACGCAGCAGUACUUCCUUAACGUCCAGAACCGCCUCAACAGCCUUAUGCCUCAAGAUGCCUAAGAAACAACAACAGCAAAAUCAGCAGAAAGACAAGAAUCAGCACGAUUUAGAGCUCAACCAGCUCAUCCGACACUCCCCUCUCCCUCCUGCUCACCAUCCUCAGCUCCGCUCCCGCUCCCCGUCGCCAUCCUCUCCUAACGGAAGCGCCCUCGAACUGCCAAAUGUGCCAUCCUACCCACGCCUGCCGCCUAUUGUCAGUCCCCCAUCAAAGCAGCUCAACUCACUUUCCCGCCAGCUGUCAGGUCUCUCUAACCCGGCGUUCUUCAUUGAAGACGACUCAGACAUUCCAGCAAUAAGACGUGCAGGUGAAUUUGCAGCAGUGGAGAUCAUGAAAUUCAUUGUAGAAACCUGAACCUGAGCAAAUUGACAGUUGACUCAUAAUGUGUGGUGUCAGGAUAAACUAAAAUGAAAGAACAGCUGAUGCAAACAAAUAAUCAUAUAUAAAGACAUUUUCUAGCUGUAAAUAAUCAACAGAGUUCAGAUGUCAUUGCCAAACAUAUGCCAGUGUGUUCAGGAUCCUGAGCACACUGUCAGGAAAAUAAAAAGGUAGCAGUUCAGUGCUGUGAUUAUAGAUUUUAGUGUUUGUGUUGUCUCUUCUGUAAUUUCUAAGAUAUAAGCUCAGAUACAGACAGCUCAUUUGUUUAAUGAGUAAGAAAAAGCAGUGUAUAUGCAAAUUCUCAAUUUGUCAAGGAAAAAGAUGAAUAAGAAACUUUUUUUUACAGAGUUUAAAAGUUUAAAAAUGUAUACUACAGCUGAACCACUCUCCACAAACUAUGUUACUGUAAAAUACUGUAAUGUAUGUUAGUGUGCUAGUGCACAGCGAGUCAGAUUAGCCCGACUGAAAAACUUGCCAGAUGAGAAGGCUAGUCCUCUCAGCUGCCAGGGCACUCAUAUACAUGGCCUAGUUUACUGGUGGAUCCUCCUGCAUUAGCCUGAUGUACAUCCCGCCAAAUCUUCUUCCCCCUCUCACUGUCCUGCCCUGGUCAACUUAUCUGUGACCUGCUUUGCCCCUUGCUGUGUGCUGUACUGCAGCUCCACUUGUCCCAACGCAUCCACAUCAUCUGUGAUGUUUUUCAUUAAUCAAUGGACAUUUGAUGCCUUUUAUCCUCCAGACAGCUCAAGCAUAAGCCUUCGUCCAGCCGUCAAUGUAGAGGAUGUUGACUCAGAUCAUGAGAUAGGGGGGAGAGGAAGAGGAGGGGAGGGACAGAGCAAUGUUCCCCAAAUCCUAACCCCACAGGACCCAAAACUUACAACCCUAACUGUCCCCGUGACCCCUUCAGGAGGUCGUCAAAGGUGAGAAAUACUAUCACGAUUAGUUUAUGUAUUCUGCCAUUGAAUAAGUAGUAGUAUUAAGUAUAAGGGUAAUUAAACACUCCAGUUUAACUGGGUGUCCAUUACAUUUUGUUAUAUCUGUUUCUCUCCCUCAUGCUUUUCAUCUACAGUAAAGGAGAAAAAGAGUAAGGAAGCUGCAUGGAUUGUUUGGGUUGCUGUGCUUUAAAUCUUCUGUCAACAAUAAUUAUAUGCUUUCUCUCUGGUGAAUAUGCACCCAUGAUAAAGCAUUUCACAAGGGAGAAAGUAAUGCAUUAUGUGGGUUAGGUCAAGUUGCAAGUUGUUGGCAAGUGGAGUGGUUUCUUCCAAAUGAGAUCAAUAUGACAUUGACAGUUGGCAAAACACAAUAUGUAUUGAUUCUAGAGAUCAAAACUUUUUUAAAUAAUAUACAAUACAUUUCAUUGGUAGAGAUGUGUUUGAUGGUUUUUACUGGAUUUUUAAAUGUAUCAUUUUGGAGUGAAACUCUUCACAAACCUCUGUUUAGUGCUAUUUGAAAUGGAUCUGCUGCCCCCUACUGUCUGCUGUACAUCACAGUAGAAGCAAUGUGUUGGUCUGUCUGUAUUUCAGUGUCCUGCAAAGACUGUGUUGCUUAGAAAAAAUUUAAAUUCCAUCCAAUUUGCUGCCAAAAUAACCUACACAAGCAAACAAGCACAUAGUGUUAUGCAGAACACAGACAGUUUGUUAUAUGAAUAAUUGUCGAGUGUUUCUUCUUCUGUGUUGUGGUGUUCUGUUUUGCAUGAACUGUUCACUUUUGCAUGGCUUUUUAUUGCUUUUGGCUGCUGUAUGGUUAUUGUCAUAACGUAGCAAAAGUCAAUAAACAGAUGCUCGCAAUCUUGCACUUCUUGCCUAUCUUCGCUUUUUAUCAGUGUCUUGAAUUUUAAUAUCAUGCUAUUACUGGCACACACGUAAACCCUGUCCCUCACUGUCCCUCUCUCAUAAACACACACACACACACUCACUUUAAACCUUGCUCUCACCAUCCACAACUAUAGUGGAAGGAAUCGUAGGACUAUCUGGACAAAGAUGUAAGAUAUCUGACCUUUAUUAAUACUGUAUUGACUCAUCUAAUAUACAUCUAUCUCCGUAUCCACACAUCAUGCUGACAAGUCAAUAUUUCCUUUCCUUCAUAUUAUCCUUCACCAUUCUUUGACCCAUUUGAAUUCACCAGUCUUUGCUUGUUCACUCAUUAAACCAUCAUUUUCAGUGCUCAUUAUUUUGCAUUAAUCACAAUCAUAAAGACGUUAUAACAUUUAUAAUUUUUAACAGUAACUGAUGUAAAGUAAAGCCACAUCACAUUCAACUAAAAUUUUGUCUCAAAUUUGAACCAUUGACAUUGCUGUGUUUACUUAACUUCAACAGUAGGAGGCUGCACUCCCAAAGUGAGGACGAUGAUGAUGAAGCAAACAUCCCUGUCAGAGCCUGGCCCAGCCAGUCCAGCCUGCACAGCACAGAUGACAUGUGAGCACUGUGCACAUACACAAACAAAUAAAGUGUGAGUUCUGUUAUUUAGCUGUUGGCAUGUAAUGAUAUACUGACAUUUUUUCAAAGACUUAAAGAGCGUCCAGCGUCUUCAGCUAGUCAGACCAGUACAGUGGUCAACGAGCGUCUUCAGGAGCUGGUCCGGAUGUUUAAAGAGAGAACCGAGAAGGCUAAGGAGAAACUCAUUGACCCUGACAGCUCAGAUGAAGACAGCAUUAUCCCAUGUGAGUCUCUACACAUACACACACCCAGACACUGAGCUGGUACAUCAGCACGAAACCAGUGGAACCCGUCAGGAAUAUAUGAAUGAUAGUCGUUGUAGAUUGCAGCAGCUGUGUUUUUUAGUAUAUUCUUUAUUUUCAGGUUAAGAGUCAGCCUUGUCCAGCCGUGAAAAUGUCUACUCGUUAAAGUCAUACCUACACCUUGUGUGUCAUCUGCU
rnacentral:lncRNA from 1 species